rnacentral:sRNA from 12 species
GUAGCGGUAUUGUAAGUCCCGGAUCGGCUGGGUGUUCGUAGAACACCCCACUCCGCCCCGCAGUGGGCGGUGGUCAUCGGCCCCCAGGCAGAGCCGCUAU